CGGCACGAGGCGAAAGAUGGUGUGGAGGCAGAGGCAGAGAGCCGACGACAUGAUGGGGGGCCCUUCAAGAUAAAGACAAGAAGACCAGAGACAACACAAUUGCCCAAGCAAGCCUUGAUGGUGGGAGUUGACUCUCUGCCUAGCAACAGAGCGACGCUGGAGCCAGGGACUGAUUGUGCUUUUGAGUCACCCCCGGUGCUGAUCUCAAGCUCAGUGCCAAGAAAAAGCCAUCUCCAUCUUAUUACCCUGCCCUCGUGCCUCACGACCCUCUCCGGGAGACCUCCACCCCGCCGACCGCUCCUCCAGAGCCGCACUCCGCCGGGCUCAGAGCCCCGCUGCCCGCCGCCUCAAUGAAGGAGCCGGACGCCAUAAAGCUCUUCAUCGGGCAGAUCCCACGGAACCUGGAGGAGAAGGACCUGAAGCCCAUCUUCGAACAGUUCGGCAAGAUCUACGAGCUUACUGUGAUAAAGGACAAAUACACGGGCAUGCACAAAGGAUGUGCCUUCCUCACAUACUGUGCCCGCGAGUCUGCCCUGAAGGCCCAGAAUGCAUUGCACGAGCAGAAGACGUUACCAGGGAUGAAUCGGCCCAUCCAGGUGAAGCCAGCUGACAGUGAGGGGAGAGGAGAAGACAGGAAGUUGUUUGUGGGGAUGCUGGGAAAGCAGCAGACGGACACCGACGUCAGGAAGAUGUUCGAGGCCUUCGGCAGCAUAGAGGAGUGCACCGUGCUACGAGGCCCCGACGGCACCAGCAAAGGCUGUGCGUUUGUGAAGUACCAGAGCAACGCUGAAGCUCAGGCUGCGAUCAGUGCACUGCACGGGAGCCGCACUCUACCGGGUGCGUCGUCCAGCCUGGUGGUGAAGUUUGCCGACACGGAGAAGGAGCGCGGCAUCCGGCGCAUGCAGCAGGUGGCCUCCCAGCUGGGCGUCAUCAGCCCCAUGAGCCUGCACCUGGGGGCCUACAACGCCUACACGCAGGCCGUCAACAACCACACCUACAACGCAGCAUACACACAGGCUGUCAACAACCAUUUGGUUCAGCAGCAGGCGUUGGUGGCCCAGUCGGCCUACCUGUCCCCGGUUGCCACGGUGGCGGCGGUGCAGAUGCAGCAGCUAGCCGCCCUGAACCCCAGCAGCAUCAUAGCCACGCCCAUUGCCACGCCCAUAGCCACGCCUUUAGCCUCCAUCACCCCCUCCUCAGGUAACAGGGUGCAGCUACAGAGGGAGAUGCUUGACAGAACACAGUGGGACAUAGGUACCAGCACUCCUCCGACUAUCGCGGCCACCCCGGUGUCGGCCCUGCCCCCGCCCCUGGCGGUCAACAGCUACCCCCCAGUGCCUGCACCACCCAAUGGCCAGUCGGCCUCCGAAUCCCUCUACACCAACGGGGUGCACCCUUACCAAGAAUGGCAGGCCACAAGCACAGGCCAAGGACAGGAGUCUUCAUAUUGGAAAGAGCCCUCUAUCUUCCUCUCUCCAUAUCUGUCCCUCUACCCUACCCCAGCGAAGUGCAACCGCCCCCAAGCUCCGAGCCCAGCUCUGGAUCCUCUGCAGCAGGCCUACACCGGCAUGCAGCACUAUACUGCCACGUACCCGGCGGCCUAUGGAUUGGUGGGCCAGCCGUUCCCCCACCAGCCUGCCCUGGUCGCCCAGCAACCGCAGCAGCCCCAGCAACUGCAGCAGCGUGAGGGUAAUCACGGUCACUUCCUGUGCCCCGAGGGUUGUAAUAUCUUCAUCUACCACCUGCCUCAGGAGUUCACCGACUCCGAGAUGCUGCAGAUGUUCCUGCCCUUCGGCAACGUCAUCUCGGCCAAAGUCUUUGUGGACCGCGCCACCAACCAGAGCAAGUGCUUUGGCUUUGUGAGUUUUGACAACCCUGCGAGUGCCCAGGCCGCCAUCCAGGCCAUGAACGGCUUCCAGAUCGGCAUGAAGCGGCUCAAGGUGCAGCUCAAGCGGCCCAAAGACGCCAACAGGCCCUACUGAGCGUGCCCAGCAGCCAGCAGCACCAGAGGAGCCAGCGGGAGAGGCUGCCCUGUCCAAUCAAAACAGGGUGUGUGUGUGGAGAGACCACGGCGCUAUGGCUACGGUUACCUAGCAACUAAUAAAGAUUACCCCCCUUCUUCUUCUUCCUCUCACAGCGUCGAGGAACAGGACCAAGCGAGGAGUUCAGUGCUGGAGUUCUGUCUCUCCUCUGCCGAUUAAAAAAAACACACACAUGGGACCAACAGCUCAGCAAACCAAACCCCCAUCUAGCUUCAUGCAUAAGACUUAGAAAAACUCAACUCAGACAACAACAGCAACAGCAACCCCCUGCAACUGAGGAACACAGGACCAACUCAUGACUACCCUUAAAGCAUAACGUCAACUACACAUAAAACCAACAAUAAAAAUGGAAAACGACUACAAAAAAAAUGAAAUAAAAAUAAAAACAAAAGAAAUAAAUACAGCACAGCACAGCAUACAGCUUAGGCCAGAGCUCUGUCUACGGUGAGAAAGAGAGAGACAGAAAGAGAGAGUGAACAAGGGGAAGACAGACAGACAGAGAGAAAGGAAGAAGGAACGCCAGCCAGCCAGCCAGCCAGCCAGCCAGCCCCAAAUGUAUACAGGAAUAGAAAAACUGCACUGCUCUGCUCAGCCCACAGGUGGCACUGUGGCCGUCAUAACGUCGUUUUAUUAAUGCCAUUAUUGUACCACUGCCAGAGUCCGUUAUACAUGUAUAUAGAAACGGAA